rnacentral:siRNA from 1 species
GGCGCUUUAACCAUUCAGCC